UCCCGGUCCCGUAGCAGGUCGCGUUCUCGGGGAAGGUCGUACUGCGGAAGGGCGUACGCGAUCGCGCGGGGGCAGCGCUACUACGGCUUUGGUCGCACAGUGUACCCGGAGGAGCACAGCAGAUGGAGGGACAGAUCCAGGACGAGGUCGCGGAGCAGAACCCCCUUUCGCUUAAGUGAAAAAGAGCGAAUGGAGCUGUUAGAAAUAGCAAAAGCCAAUGCGGCGAAAGCUUUAGGAACAACCAGCAUUGACUUGCCAGCUAGUCUCAGAACUGUUCCUGUAGCCAAAGAAACAAGCCGUGGAAUAGGUGUAUCAAGUAAUGGUGCAAAGCCUGAAGUAAGUAUUCUAGGUUUGUCCGAACAAAACUUUCAGAAAGCCAACUGUCAAAUCUGAUUAGCUACUUAUAUCUUACCCUAGACUAUACUUUUUGGGAAGUCUAGAGCUAUAUAUAACGUGCUAAAUUCAAAGUAGCAAAUCUGAAGAUAGGCAAGGUCAUACCCAUGAAAAUGGGAGAUUAAUGAGCUUUAUUUGGCCGUGCAUAGUGCCUCCUGCCUGUAAUAAGGCAGAUGGCUUGAGUCCAGGAGUUCAAGAGUAGCCUGGGCAAUGUGGCAAAACCGCGUUUUCAAAAAAUACAAAAAUUAGCCAGGCAUGGUGGUGCAUGCCUGUAGUCCCAGCUGUUUGGGAGGCUGAGGCAGGAGGAUCUUUGAGCCCAGGAUGCUAAGGUUGCAGUGAGCCAAGAUUGCACCAUUGCACUCUAGCCUGGGCAGCAGAGCGAGACCCUGUCUCAAAAAAUACAUUUUAUUUUUUUCAUUUUCAGUUAACACUGUACUCUUAUAACACCGUUAUUAGCUGGUAUUUUGGUGAUUUCUAUUACUAGUUUUUCUAAGCUAUUUACAGAGUGUUUGUAGCUUUCAUUUGCAGCAUUAUGUUCCCACAAAUUCUGUACUCAGCAUAUACAGUAUAGUUUAUCUGCUUUAUUUCUGUCUUAUAGAAAUCAUGAAUGUGGUCUGCAGACAUUGAUGAAGAAAAUCUGUUGGUAAUUGAUACAUGGGCUAAAGCAUCAGAGGUUUAAUUUGAAGUUUAUGUUCACACACUGAAAACUUAGUUUUUUUGUUGGUAGAUCCAUGUGCAUGCUAGAAUUUGGGACAGGUACGAUUUGCAUAAAGUAUUAAAGUCAGUUUUUAAACUAAGCAAAGGUACACGUUGUAAUGGUGGGGCAUCUGUGAAAAAGAUGUCCCUUUCAUAAUAUAUGCAAUAUAUUCCAGAUGUUUUGAGAGAUUACAGAAGAGGAGGCCUGCUUCACUUGCAGAUAAGUGUCGGAAAAGGUAACAGAAGAUGGAACUCGAAAUCCCAAUGAAAAACCUACCCAGCAAAGAAGCAUAGCUUUUAGCUGUAAUAAUUCUGUAGCAAAGCCAAUACAAAAAUCAGCUAAAGCUGCCACAGAAGAGACAUCUUCAAGAUCACCAAAAAUAGAUCAGAAAAAAAGUCCAUAUGGACUGUGGAUACCUAUCUGAAAGAAGAAAACUAAUGGCUAAGUUUGCAUGAAAACUGCACUUUAUUGCAAGUUAGUGUUUCUAGCAUUAUCCCAUCCCUUUGAGCCAUUCAGGGGUACUUGUGCAUUUAAAAACCAACACAAAAAGAUGUAAAUACUUAAUACUCAAAUAUUAACAUUUUAGGUUUCUCUUGCAGAUAUGAGAGAUAGCACAGAUGGACCAAAGGUUAUGCACAGGUGGGAGUCUUUUGUAUAUAGUUGUAAAUAUUGUCUUGGUUAUGUAAAAAUGAAAUUUUUUAGACACAGUAAUUGAACUAUAUUCCUGUUUUGUAU
rnacentral:sRNA from 1 species